rnacentral:misc_RNA from 1 species
CCAAACUUGGUCAUUUAGAGGAAGUAAAAGUCGUAACAAGGUUUCCGUAGGUGAACCUGCGGAAGGAUCAUCAAUAAAUCCAAAUUAUUCACCCUUGUGAACUGUGUGCUGGAGUCGACGCGUUUCGCUCGAUUCUCAUGGCGCUUUCAUGGUCGUAGAUUAGUUUGUAGGGUUUAACUGCUACGAGCUUGUUUUCGUUUAUUCAGAAUAGUGGUUCUCUUUGGAUGCCAAUAUUUUGUUUGAGCUUGAAUUUGCUUGGUUAGACUCGAUGCUUUUCGGCGACUAGCGUCUAGCAAAAAACUCCUAAAAUCAUACAAGCUAAAGCAAAACAUAAUAAUUAAACAACUUUCAACAAUGGAUCUCUUGGCUCUCGCAUCGAUGAAGAACGCAGC